rnacentral:rRNA from 1 species
CGACCCCAGGUCAAGCGGGACUACCCGCUGAAUUUAAGCAUAUCAAAAAACGGGAAGAAAACCCUGGGCGC